UGGGGUGUGGCACAGUGGUAAAGUACCUGCUUAACAUGCAUAAGGCCCUGGGUUUAAUUCCUAGCACCCAAA
rnacentral:tRNA from 1 species